AAAGAUCAACAAUUUCCCAGAACACUCGAAAUUAUUAUAUAUAUUUCUAGCCAUCCUUACAAAGAUGGACUUUCGAUUUUUCCAACUAUAAAGGGGAAAAAUUCGACAUCUGAAACCUCUCGAUAAAAAAGGAGGGAGAAGUAGUAGGUCAGGCAUACAGUAUAAUAAAUGAAGCACAUGUCCAAUCACUUGUGCCAUUUUGUUCGCCAAUCAAAGUUUUCAGAGCGCUUGAAAAAGGAACUAAAACAAAAAGACUAAAAAGUUGGUGAACUUUCUGCAGGGCAACUUAUCGACAGUCUCCGGGCCACAAAACAAUCAAAGCGAGCCCCGUUACGAGAAAGGGCAACUGGGAUGGCAAAGUGCAGGCGAAAGAGUUGAAACAUACCUAAGGUGCGACAGCAGCAGGAAAAGGACUAACUUUGGAGGUAAAACUCACCGUGGGAAACUUGGCGAGAAGGUGAGGAAAGUUCAGGGGCAUUGACUUUGAUCUUGGUCCUCCGGCUUUGUUUGCCAUUCCAUUCGAAGGCAAAUAAUAGAGAACCAAAUAAGCAGCGGCUCGCCGAGUCUGAAAGCAAUUAAAUGGGAUUUUCGCCUGGCUUAAUGGCCAAAAGACGACGACGGAGCCCAUCUAAUUAAUAAUUAAAUUAAAUUUCCGUCCCAACCAUAAAAGUAUUAAUUGCUGUCCACAAAUCUGGCUUAGCCAAAUCCCUCAAGUGGCCAAUAACCCAACGAUCCCGAGCUGCAAAGGACCGUCAGCUGCCAUUCCGUCCAAAGUGUUGCCUUGUUGCUUCCGGUGGCGGGAGCAGCUCGAAAACCAAUUGCUCCUUCGAAUCCUCCUCCCAGGAACUGGCUUCCGAGAUUGGAUUGGGCUAUAAUAAAAAAUGAGCCAUGCCCCAAUGCCACCACUCGGCAAGCCAAUGUAAUGUGAAGCUCGGGGACGGGCGACGUUUCCGCUUCCCGUUGGACAACUUCCGGUGGCAGCAGUUUGGCGCCACGUCACAUUGACAGCCUCCACACGGUCUUAUCAAUAUUGAAGCAACGUAUGCGUGUGUGUGUGUGUGUUUGCCCCACAAAUGGCCGCAUAAAAUGCUUCAGCACCAAAGUGUCUCUAACUAUACUGAAAAAAGCAUGUAAACAAAGUUUAGGGGUUUGCUUUAAUAAUACAAGUUUUUUUGGGUAACUAA